rnacentral:rRNA from 1 species
UGAGGAAUAUUGGUCAAUGGACGAGAGUCUGAACCAGCCAUGCCGCGUGAAGGAUGAAGGCGUUCUGCGUUGUAAACUUCUUUUGCGGGGGAAGAAACCUUGAUAUUCUUAUCAAGCCGACGGUACCCCGAGAAUAAGCACCGGCUAACUCCGUGCCAGCAGCCGCGGUAAUACGGAGGGUGCAAGCGUUAUCCGGAUUUACUGGGUUUAAAGGGUGUGUAGGCGGAUUAUUAAGUCAGCGGUGAAAUCUCCGAGCUCAACUCGGAAACUGCCAUUGAUACUAUUAGUCUUGAAUAUUGUUGAGGUGGGCGGAACGGGUCAUGUAGCGGUGAAAUGCAUAGAUAUGACCCGGAACACCGAUUGCGAAGGCAGCCCACUAAGCAAUGAUUGACGCUGAGGCACGAAAGCGUGGGGAUCAAACA